UACGGAGGGGGCUAGCGUUGUUCGGAAUUACUGGGCGUAAAGCGCACGUAGGCGGAUCAGUUAGUCGGGGGUGAAAUCCCGGGGCUCAACCCCGGAACUGCCUUCGAUACUGCUGGUCUGGAGUCCGAGAGAGGUGAGUGGAAUUCCGAGUGUAGAGGUGAAAUUCGUAGAUAUUCGGAGGAACACCAGUGGCGAAGGCGGCUCACUGGCUCGGUACUGACGCUGAGGUGCGAAAGCGUGGGGAGCAAAGCGGGG
rnacentral:rRNA from 1 species